GGCUUGUUGAAUAUAAUUUCAAGUCAAACCUGCCCUAUGAAUUAUUAAAUGGCCGCGGUAAAUUGACCGUGCAAAGGUAGCAUAAUCACUAGUUUUUUAAUUGAAAGCUUGAAUGAAAGGUUUAAUGAGAAAGUUUCUGUCUCUGGAAGGGUUUAUUAGAAUUUUAUUUUUAAGUUAAAAAGCUUAAAUGUUAAUAGAAGACGAGAAGACCCUAUAGAGUUUUAUAUUUUAAUCAAAAAUGAGUCUUUAGGGUUUAAAAGGUUUAUUUUUGUGAGAGUAUUUUGUUGGGGUGAUGAGGAAAUUAAUGUAACUUUCCUAUAUAAUUACAUUUAUUUAUGAAUAUAUGAUCCUAAAAUUUGGAUUAAAGAUUAAAUUACCUUAGGGAUAACAGCGUAAUUUUUUUAAGAGUUCUUAUCGAAGAAAAAGUUUGCGACCUCGAUGUUGGAUUAAAGUGAAUUUUUGGUGUAGAAGCUAAAUAUUAUUAAGUCUGUUCGACUUUUAAAACUUUACAUGAUCUGAGUUUAAACCGGUGUGAG
rnacentral:rRNA from 1 species